rnacentral:rRNA from 1 species
ACGCGACCCCAGGUCAAGCGAGGCUACCCGCUGA